UACUAGAGUAGCACUCGCAUAUCAAUAAGCGGAGGAAAAGAAACUAACAAGGAUUCCCCUAGUAACGGCGAGUGAAGCGGGAAGAGCUCGAAAUUUGAAAUCUUAAAGGGUUUCCCUUUACGAAUUGUAGUUUAAAGAAGUGUUUUCUGUUGAGGUUUUGGUAAAAGUUCUUUGGAAUAGGACAUCAUAGAGGGUGAGAAUCCCGUAUUUGACCUUUACUUUCAACUUUGUGAUACACUUUCAAAGAGUCGGAUUGUUUGGGAAUGCAGUCCAAAAUGGGUGGUAAAUUUCAUCUAAAGCUAAAUAUUGGCGAGAGACCGAUAGCGAACAAGUACCGUGAGGGAAAGAUGAAAAGAACUUUGAAAGAGAGUUAAACAGUACGUGAAAUUGUCAAAAGGGAAGCGUUUGACACCAGUGUUGUUUUUCUGAAAAUCAAUUAAAGAACUGUUUAUGCUAAGCUGUUUAGACUUUAUCAGCUAUCUGUUUAGUUUUGAGCUUUUCUUUAAUGCACUUUUCAGUUAACAAGUCAACAUCAAUUUCUUUCGCUGUAAAAAAGCUUGAGGAAGGUGGCUUGAGAUUCGUCUUAAGUGUUUAUAGCCUCUUGCCUAUGCAGUCGGAGAGAUUGAGGUCUGCAGCGUAGAUCCUUCGGGGCUAAAUGCAUUUGUGCUAAGUUAUAGCAUUUUAUAGACAACUUGUUGACUAUGAUUUGUCUUGUAGCUUACUCGCUUAUGUUAUUUUACCUACGCUUAGGAUGUUGAACUACUGAGACAUAGA
rnacentral:rRNA from 1 species